UACGAAGGGGGCUAGCGUUGCUCGGAAUGGCUGGGCGUAAAGGGCGCGUAGGCGGUUCGUACAGUCAGACGUGAAAUUCCCGGGCUCAACCUGGGGGCUGCGUUUGAUACGUGCGGGCUUGAGUUCGGAAGAGGGUCGUGGAAUUCCCAGUGUAGAGGUGAAAUUCGUAGAUAUUGGGAAGAACACCGGUGGCGAAGGCGGCGACCUGGUCCGAUACUGACGCUGAGGCGCGAAAGCGUGGGGAGCAAACAGG
rnacentral:rRNA from 1 species